GAUAGCUCAGUUGGUUGGAGUGUGGUGCUGAUAAUGCCAACGUUGUGGGUUCAAUCCCCCUGCA